rnacentral:rRNA from 1 species
CAGCCGCCGCGGUAAUACCGGCGGCCCGAGUGGCGGUCACUAUUAUUGGGCUUAAAGCGUCCGUAGCCGGGUUGGGAAGUCCUCCGGGAAAUCUGGCCGCUUAACGGUCAGAAUGCCGGAGGAUACUCCCAGCCUAGGGAGCGGGAGAGGCCGAGGGGAUUCCCGGGGUAGGGGUGAAAUCCUAUAAUCCCGGGAGGACCACCUGUGGCGAAGGCGCUCGGCUGGAACGCGUCCGACGGUGAGGGACGAAGGCCAGGGGAGCAAACCGGAUUAGAUACCCGGGUAGUCCUGGCGGUAAACGAUGCGGACUUUGUGUCGGACAAGCUAUGAGCUUGUCCGGUGCCGGAGGGAAACCGUUAAGUCCGCCGCCUGGGGAGUACGGCCGCAAGGCUGAAAUUUAAAGGAAUUGGCGGG